rnacentral:rRNA from 1 species
UACGGAGGGUGCGAGCGUUGUUCGGAAUCACUGGGCGUAAAGCGCGUGUAGGCGGCCCAUUAAGUCUGAUGUGAAAGCCCGGGGCUUAACCCCGGAAUUGCACCUCAAACUACAUGGCUAGAGCAUUGGAGAGGGUAGCGGAAUUCACGGUGUAGCAGUGAAAUGCGUAGAUAUCGUGAGGAACACCAGAGGCGAAGGCGGCUACCUGGACAAUUGCUGACGCUCAGGCACGAAAGCGUGGGGAGCAAAAGGG